AACCGCCGCUGUGCCUAUGCUACCGCAUGGGCCUCUGCGCCUGGGAGGCUUGCGGCUGCCAGGCUUAAGUCACGGGGCAGCAGGAGUUCAGAUUUUUUUUAGGCCUCUGAAACAAGGCUAGCGCAUAUUAGCAUCGAGAGUCAGGAGAGUACGAAUGGGAAGUACCGUCAUAAAAUUAUCUUUGCUACUAGCAAUAGGAAGCACCGUCAUAAAAUUAACUCUGGUAAUAAAAUCGAUUGGAUAUAUAUUGUUUCUAGGAAACUAGGAAGGAUCCCGUGUAGAAAGUGUGGAUAGCUAGCCUUUUUCAUCGGAUCAUUUGGUUUUUUCUUGAAAUAUUUCUUUCAAAACAGUCUCACUUUUUUCUUAAGUUGUAUUGGUGCUCCCUAAGAUCGAAAGCAGGAAUACUACUUUUCUGUAAAAUCACAAAAAUGCACACAUUUGGGACCUUUCCUAAGCUGUGUCUUCGAGCAACCAAAAAGCUGAUGUUAGUUUAUUUUCAUUUUUUUUGAGAGAAGAAAAUUCUUUGCUUGAUGCUUAAUCAGAGAUGAAAAUAUUGAUCAUUUUUUACAUGUGUGCUGAUCAUUUUUUUACUGGACUGCUGUCAGGUAUAAUUGGAGUGCUGUCAUAAGUGGAGUGUUGUUAGUUACAUGUGUGCUGAUCAUUCUAAUCACAUUGUUCGUCGUUAAUCAUGUGAAGAAAAUAUUCAAAGUUAUAACUUGAAUUUUUGUUGAAUCUGGCAAUUGUAUGGCCUAGAAUUUAUUGUUCAUUAGUCAGAAAGACUACGUUCAUUAGUUCAGGUCUUGCUGAUUUACUUUGCAGCAACAUGGUAUAUAAACCUGAUGCAUUCUCUGAUGAACAGACUUUAUAAGCCAUCACUCACAUUCUGAUGAACAGACUUUAAUUAUCAUGGCUAGAUGCACUUAUUGUUUUCGUUUGUACUCUAUAAAUCAAUUACAUGUUUCCUUAGUGGAAGACCACAAGUCUAGACUAGUAGUCUAGUAUUGGAUCCCUUGGGACUGAAUGAUCCCUUGCAUGCUUAUUAAAACGACGUUUAAACGUCGUUUAAACGACGUUUAAACUAUAAAACGCUGGAGAAAACUGAAACUAUAAAACGUUUUAGUUUUCUUCGUAAAACGUCGUUUAACUACGUUUAAACGCCACGUUUUGGCGUUUAAACGUUGUUUAGCGUGAAACGCCACGUUUCGGGCGUUCUACGGCGGCCCAGCCUAAUUCACCAAACCUGGUCGCGCUCACGUUUAGGGCACCAGACCGCGCUCAAGUCCACCGUUCUCUGCCCCCAGACCGCGCUCAAGUCCACCCUCUCUGCCCCCAGGCCGCUCCAGGCCGUCGCUCCUCCCCGUGCAGCCUCCUCCAGGCCGCCGCGGCUCCUCCCGUCCUCCGCCGCCGCUCCAGGCCGCAGCUCCUCCGCCACAGCUCCAGGCCGCCGCUUGGCCGCGCCAGGCCGCUGCUCGGCCGCGCCAGGCCGCCGCUCAGCCGCCAGCAGCUCCAGGCCGCGCUCCAGGCCGCUCCCGCUGUCUGCCGGCCACUACAGAGACAGCCAACCCUCCAGCCCUGCUUCACUGGUGACUGGUGAGUGGUGAGUACCAUCUUAAUUUGUUGAAGGAAGAAGGAUUGAGGUGAGGUGCUUCCUGCUGUCAUCUGAACAUAUGCAUUCACUGGUGACUGGUGACUGGUGAGUGGUGAGUGGUGAGUGGUGAGUACCAUCUUAUUGCAGAAUAGAUUGGAGGAGAAAUGGCUGAUUUUAGCACGGAAGCAUCUGCAGCUGGCUCUCAAAUACGAAGUGAUGGAUAUGAUCCACUGAAAGAUCCAAAAAGGAAACCCAAAUCUGAUGAUCCAGGCUGGAAGUAUGCCUAUUAUGUAGAGCCUGGCAAGCGAGAGUUGAUCCAAUGCGCCCUUUGCCCGAGGAAAAUUAAAGGAGGAAUUCUGAGGGUGAAGAAACAUCUUGUGGGCGGAUUCUUGAGGAUGAUGAAGAUGAAGAUGAUGUUGAUGAGGGUGAUGAGAAUGAAGAUGAUGAUGAUGCUGUUGAUGAGGGUGAUGAGAAUGAAGACGAUGACAAUUUUGUGCUUGACGACCUUGACAUGGAUGAUGAAGAAGAAACAAACAAUAGUGGUGGCCGUGGUGAUGAGCAAGACAAGGAUGAUGUUGGUUUAGAUGAUUUGGAUGAUGGUUAUUGAGUGUUUGAGUAACUCUUGUGUGCUUGUGGUUGUGGACAUGGCAUUCUACUUUAGUUGCUUUAGUUGAACUUGUGUUAUUGUGGUGAUGUGGUUGUGGACAUGUCAUUUUGCACAAUAUUAUUAUGUGAACUUAUGUUGGUUGUUUGGUAUUUGACUUGAUAUAAUUGCUUGAAAUUAUGAUAUAUUGAAAUUUCCCUAUGUUGUUUAAAACUACGUUUAAACUUUGUUUAAACCGUUUAAAAGUUAAAACUCACCCAUGAGCGUUUCAACGUUUCGUCGUUUUAAUAACCUUGAUCCCUUGGGACUAGUAGUCUAGAGAAAUACACCCGAGUGGAAAAAAUCCUACUAGGGAAUUGAGGUGUCAUUUAAAAUCCCCUUAUUAGUGGAUUAAUUCCCUAGAUUUUUUAUCCAUUUGUUGCCAAACUAGCGCUAAGCGAGCAAGUAGCGGCGGCCGGCAGCGGCACGGGGGCACCUGCCAGCACCGCGCAACAUAAGGGGCAGGCGGCGCUGCAGCGUCUUGUGGUGGGCAGGGCGCUGGGCGCAGGGCAGCUGCCAGCUGCGAGCCGCCACUGCAAUCCGGCAGCGUGUCGGCGCCGACAAGAGCUCACCAGCAGCGGCAGGGGCGCUCGGGGCCGCGCGUCCGGCGGACGGCAACACCAGCGCAGAAACGAUUAGCGAGACGCGAGUCCGAAUUUCCCUCAUUCUGUAAGUUCAAAUUGAAACAUUCAGUUUGUUAGGGACAGGCGGACAGCAAUUUGUGAAUCGCUUAGCCUGAAUUAGAGUUUGUCUCCAAAUUACUUUAGUCAAAUAUGCGUUAAGAAAUUUCAAUUCAUGCUCAAUUAUGUGUUAUCAUAUAUAUCCUAUAUAUAUAUAUAUAUAUAUAUAUAUAUAUAUAUAUAUAUAUAUAUAUAUAUAUAUAUAUAUAUAUAUAUAUAUAUAUAUAUAUAUAUAUAUAUAUAUAUAUAAUGCAAUUUGAACUAUGCGGCAUUAUACAUGUCAAAUAUUAGCUUUUUGGUUGUCAAUUCUCAUCAACUCCCCACCCUGCACUUUCUUAAGAAUACACUAACAAAUUGCUUGUAAGUUGCUACAAUUUUUAUUUAUAUGUGUAGAGUAUAAAACACAAAGACACUAUGUGUGUUUAUUGGCUAGGUGGAUGUGAAUGUAGAUUUAGAGCUAAUAACUAUGGUUUGAAUCCUGUUUUGUGCAAAAUUUUAGUUUUUUACCGUUUAAAUAUGGGCAGCAGACAAUGGCUUCCAAUUAUUAGUAUAGAGUAUAAAACAUAGAGACACGUGUGUUAUGUUGGUUAGGUAGGUGUGAAUGUGGGUUUAGAGCCUGGUUCGAAUCCUUAUGUAUGUAUACUUUUAGCUAUUUUUACCAUUUAAGACCCUAUUUGGAACCUCUAAAACUGAUAGUUAGCUACUAAAAAUUAGUUGUUGGGUUCCAAACACCAUCAACUAACACCGCAACUAAUUGUUAGCUAUCUCGCAGCUAACAAUUAGUUCAUUGACUGGCUCAAUCGAGCUAAUAAUUUAUUUGUUGACUAAAUAUUAGCUCUAAGGUUCCAAACGGAGCCUGGGUACGUUUGGUUGAGGAGUGAGAGGGAAUAGAGUGGUUCUGUUCCUAUUUUCUAGUGUUUGGUUAUACAGCAAGAAAGAGCAGAGCGGCUCGGGGAGUGACUCUAUUCCAUUAUCUCUACAACUAUUAAGAACCUAUUGUAGACUGCCCCCGCCUCUACACCCGCCAUCCAGCCCGCACGUCGCAAUCCCGUCGCGGCCGCCGCGAACCACUCGCCCGCACGCCCUACGCCCAUCCGCCCGCCCGCACGCUGCAAACCCAGCCGCGACCAUGGCGAACCGCCCGCCCUACCGCCCGGUCGGGCCAGGCGGCGUGUCAAUCUCUGAGAUCUACAGGGACGCACGACGCUGCCGAUGGCGAAACGAGGAAAAUCCGCACCUCGGCUCCAGAUCCGCCCGUAGCCGCCGUUCGGCUUCCGUGGAACCCACCGGCGCCGGCAGUCCCCACGAUCAUUCUGAUCUCGCUCGCUGCGCUCCUCAUCCGCAUGCUGGUUUCCGUGGGCCCCUACUCCGGUCAGGGUGCGGCGCCCAAGUUCGGCAACUAUGAGGCGCAGCGGCACUGGAUGGAGCUCACACUCCACCUCACGCCCGCCGACUGGUACCGCAACACCUCCGACAAUGACCUUGCCUACUGGGGCCUGGACUACCUGUCCCUCUCCGCCUACCAGAGCCUCGUCCACGGGCAGGUUGCUGUCGAGGCCCCGCCAUCCUAGCCGUUCUCGUUGCCGUCAGCUGCCCGGCUGUGGCGCCUACGUCCGCGCGCCUUCACGCCUUCGCAUUACAUCGGGUUUCGCCACCUCCUCCUCGUCACUCCCGUUUGGAAGCUGGUGCCGUGGUCGAGCUUGGACCCGAACUUCUCAACCGGGGGCAACUUUGAGUUCGCCUUCAACGAGGCCAACUUCUCCAAUCAGGAAUUGCAGAUUGAGGUCAUCGCGGGGGACGAUGACGCGCCGGGGUCUAGGGGCGACGAUGCUGGAGGAGGUGGCCUCGCCGACUGGGCGCGCCAUUGCAAGCACCGACGCUGGGAGUUCUUCAAGGAGAAAGGUACAUCGACAGAUUCUGGCUACGCAUGUCGUUGUUGUCUUAUGAUCGUGCGAUUUUUUGUGUUGAUUUGUGAAUUUGCUAGGGAGUUGUGUGCCUCAUUAUUUUGGUGUAAACUCUGAUUUUCGUAGGUACACGACAAUAUAGGUUAUAAUGGGAAAUGAAUUGGAGAAGGAUGAAGAGGAAUUUCAAUUUGGAGUUGCUGCGAUGUACAUGUACGAAUUAUCUAACACUUUGAUCUCUCACCAACCACAAUAAUUGUCAAACGAAUUUACAAGAAUAAAACCAUGGCUUUGCGGGUGGAGAAGCAAUAGGAGAAGCUUUCCUGUAACUUGUAUUUGCCCAGAAGAUUGAACUCCUAGCGGCUCACCUGAGGGUCAAGCAAGUGAACUACAUCAGGCUUCCUGACCAUCCUGGGCAGGCUUUACACUAUUCUCAGGUAUACCUUUUAUUUUCCAUGCUGCCUUGCAUGGUCGCAUAGGUAGCUUAAGAGAGUUUUAACCUCUAGGAUUGUCCUGAUCAAUUAUGCAUGUUGCAUUUCUCUCUUGUUCAUUAGGCAAAGGGAGCGGGCUCUGUUUUAACAAGAUAUAUCAAAGAAUUGUAGACUGUAGCACUCUCAUAUAAGUCAUCUUUUUUAUUAAACCAAAAUAUGAUGCAUCUUGUUGGACCUUUCCGGCUUCAGCACAGGUAUCAAUUAAGAUAGAUUAGAGAAAAACAUUAGCAUGGAUCCCUGAGGUGAUCAUUUCUUUAAACAGGUACUCAACCAUUUGUAAAUCACCAUUUUUAGAAAAGCUACUAAUUACCACAGAGUAUGGAACAUAGUCUGGCAGCAGUUUUAUUGCUUGCAUUACAGGUGAUUGAGACCGUUACCUGUAGAUUCCAUGAGUUUGUGUUCUCAAGGACAUAAAUAUGUUAUCUUGAUUCACACAAAUGUAAAAUACAAAAAAAAAA
rnacentral:lncRNA from 1 species